AGAGUUUGAUCCUGGCUCAGAUUGAACGCUGGCGGAAUGCUUUACACAUGCAAGUCGAGCGGCAGCGCGGGGCAACCUGGCGGCGAGCGGCGAACGGGUGGGUAAUGCAUCGGAACAUGUCCAUGUCGUGGGGGAUAGCCCGGCGAAAGCCGGAUUAAUACCGCAUAAGCCCGAGAGGGGAAAGCAGGGGACCGCAAGGCCUUGCGCGAUUGGGUUGGCCGAUGUCCGAUUAGCUUGUUGGUGAGGUAAAGGCUUACCAAGGCGAUGAUCGGUAGCUGGUCUGAGAGGAUGAUCAGCCACACUGGGACUGAGACACGGCCCAGACUCCUACGGGAGGCAGCAGUGGGGAAUUUUGGACAAUGGGGGCAACCCUGAUCCAGCCAUUCCGCGAGAGUGAAGAAGGCCUUCGGGUUGUAAAGCUCUUUUGUCCGGAGCGAAACGGUGGCGGUGAAUAUCCGCCACUACUGACGGUACCGG
rnacentral:rRNA from 1 species